rnacentral:rRNA from 1 species
AUGGCUGCUGCGCAUGCCUUCUUCUCCUUCUCCUCGGUCGAGCCACUGCUCCAUUCGGCUUCAUGGGUAGCUGGAAAUGGUGGCCGGAGCGGCCGCAACUGUAGCUUCUUCCGCCCUUCGCCUGUGAUAUGUCCCGGGCCGGAGCCUGCGUCCCAUGAGCUGUCGGAUGAUUUUGACUUCCAGGAAAGCCUAAGGAAUGUUCAAGCGUUGCUGCAACAACCUCCGAAGAGUAGAGGAGGCAUGUUGACAACUGUUGAUCAUCUAAAGCGCCUCUGCAUCGACCACUAUUUCCAAGACGAAAUUGAUACCAUCAUGGGCUCAUGUGUGGAUCUCAUCCAUAGUGAUGAUCUGCUUGAUGCAACCCUUUCUUCGAGGAUGAUGAGGGAAGCUGGAUAUUAUUUUUCGGCAGACGAUGUUCUACGGAAGUUCAUGAACAAUAAUGGUGAUUUCAACCUCGGGCUUAGCAAUGACAUUAGAGGGCUACUGAGCUUGCAAGACAUGUCACACCUCAACAUGGGAGAAUCAUCACUCUACAAGGCAAAUGAAUUCUCAAGCAAGCACCUUAGAUUUGCAAUUAAGUAUUUGGAGCCGAACCUUGCAAGAUAUGUGAGCCAGUCACUAGACCAUCCCUAUCAUGUGAGCCUGAUGCAGUACAAGGCAAGGCACCAUCUGAGCUACCUCCAAAACUUGCCCACUAGGAACAUGGCAAUUGAGAAUCUAGCACUUGCAGAGUUUCAGAUUAAGAAGUUACAGCAUCAGAGGGAAGGGCAGGAGGUUAAGAGAUGGUGGAUUGAUCUGGGAUUGGCUCAAGAAAUACCGGCUGCAAGGGAUCAAGUUCUUAAAUGGUACAUGUGGGCCAUGACUGCCCUUGAGGGUUUCUCUUUCUCUAGAUAUAGGGUUGAGACCACAAAGAUCAUCUCCAUGGUCUACAUUGUGGAUGACAUCUUUGAUCUUGUCGCCACACAAGAAGAGCUCUCCCUCUUUAAUGAAGCAAUCAAAACAUGGGAUCUUGCAGCCAUUGAUUCACUCCCAAGCUACAUGAUAUCAUGUUACAAGGCUCUUUACACAAUCACAAAUGACAUCUCCGAUAUGGUCAAGAAAGAGCAUGGAUUGAACCCUAUCAAUCAUCUCAAGAAAGCUUGGGCAACUUUGUUUGAUGGAUUCAUGAUCGAGGGGAAAUGGUUAUCUACUAAUCAGGCUCCUACAUCCAAGGACUAUCUAAGAAACGGCAUCAUCACUUCAGGAGUACCUCUUGUAUUCUUGCAUAUUUUCUUCAUGCUAGGCCAUGAUUUAACAGAGGACAACAGAGACUACAUCUUCCGAAUAAUAUCUUGCCCUGCAAAGAUCAUGAGGCUCUACGACGACAUGGGUAGUGCAAAGGAUGAAUCGCAAGAAGGACUCGAUGGAUCAUACAAGGAGUUGUAUCAGAGAGAAAAUUCUCAAGGUGACGUGGAGGAACACACGCUGGAGAUAAUCGCGGGUGAGUGGGAGGAUCUGAAUAGGGAAUGCUUCUCUGGAACAAAUUCAACACUAUCUCAUGCCUUUGUCGGCACGUCACUCAACUUUGCGAGGAUGGUCCACGUCAUGUAUGGCUAUGAUGAUGAGCAUAGGCUCCCCAUCCUUGAGGAUUACACUAGGAUGUUGCUCUUCUGA